UGCCUUUGUAAUCUCUGUUCACAAUGGAAAAUUACAUUCCCUUGGAAAAGCUAAUUACUAUUUCUUACAAUUUCCCUGUAGCUUCUAAGACUUAUAUCGAACCCUAACAAAGGAUGGAAUUGCCAUAGCAACUGCCAAUCUGCUUGGUUUUUAUUGCUGUUUUUGUUUUCUCACUCAGAAACCCACGCGAUAGACCAGUUUCAUCAAAUGGCCAGCCAUGAGAGACUGAAGGCCAUGCUUUUAGAGAAAGACAAUGCUUCUCUAUCUGUGGAAGAUAUUGGAAAUAAAGAAAAUAAUGAAUGCAGAUGAUGACUACAGCCCGACUGCACUUUGAAACUUUAAGCAGGAAGAGAGAUCCAAUAUCCCGUGAUAUGCAGUGGUGUCUCCGGCAAACGCGCCUGCCUCUGAAGACUGUGGUGCCGGCUCACAAUUCCCAGGAAGCCAACUGUCUUGCACCUUGUUCUCACUGAACGUGCGUUGCUAUUCUGGACUGGCACUACUGAAUUAAGUUUGUCCCUUGUGUUUUCCAUGGAGUCUUUAAUGAAUGUGAGCUGCCUAGAAGCAAAGCCUUUGGGAACACAAAGCAAAUGAAGGAACAAACUUUUAAUCAAAGAAUCUAAGUAUGCUCAGAGCUUGAUUGUGUGAAGGACGGGGGGAGCUGAGGGUUCUCAGCAUCCCACAGGAAUAAGUAAAUAAGGUGGAAGGUGAAAAGCUUGCAGCCAGAAAGUCAAAAUGACCUGUUCUUGAAAAUCAGGCUUUAUAAUUCAUACCAUAUAGUGAAUGAUUCACUAAUAAAGACUAAUUUGCAAGAAGAAAUAAAGUACA
ensembl:lncRNA